GAUGAACGCUAGCGGUAGGCUUAACACAUGCCAGUCGAGGGGCAGCAUGGUCUUAGCUUGCUAAGGCUGAUGGCGACCGGCGCACGGGUGCGUAACGCGUAUGCAACUUGCCUCACAGAGGGGGGUAACCCGGCGCAAGAAGGACUAAUACCGCGUACACGCUAUGUUGGGCAUCCAAUGUAGCGGGAAUGAAAUUCGCUGUAAGAUAGGGAUGCGUCCCGUUGGCUAGUUGGUGAGGUAACGGCUCACCAAGGCGACGAUGGGUAGGGGAACUGAGAGGUUGAACCCCCACACUGGUACUGAGACACGGACCAGACUGCGACGGGAGGCAGCAGUGAGGAAGAUUGGUCAAGGGGCGAGAGCCUGAACCAGCCAAGUCGCGUGAAGGAUGACUGUCUUAUGGAUUGUAAUCUUCUUUGAAACGGGAACAACAAGAGUCACGUGUGGCUUCCUGCAUGUACCGUAUGAAUAAGCACCGGCUAACUCCGUG
rnacentral:rRNA from 1 species